rnacentral:rRNA from 1 species
UACAUGUGGGGCAAGCGUUGUUCGGAAUUACUGGGCAUAAAGGGUGCGUAGGCGGCUUGUUAAGUCAGGGGUGAAAGUUUUCGGCCCAACCGGAAAAUUGCCUUUGAUACUGGCGAGCUUGAGUGCGUGAGGGGUAACCGGAACGAGUGGUGUAGCGGUGAAAUGCGUAGAUAUCAGGAGGAACACCGGUGGCGAAGGCGGGUCUCUGGGCCGAUACUGACGCUGAGGAGCGAAAGCGUGGGGAGCGAACAGG